rnacentral:miRNA from 1 species
GUUAGUGAUGAUCAAUAAAGUUA